GAGAGCGAAAAAAGAGAAAAGAGAAAAAGAGAGAGAAGAUGUCCUCUGUUCUCUUUUUUCUAAUCUCUAUCAACCUCUUUUU
rnacentral:ribozyme from 13 species